ACUACGUCCAGCAGCGCGGUAUACGUAGGUGCAAGCGUGUCCGGAUUAUGGGCGUAAGAGCUCGUAGGCGGUUGUCGCGUCUGCUGUGAAUCCCGAGGCUCAACCUCGGGUCUGCAGUGGUACGGGCAGACUAGAGUGCGGUAGGGGAGAUUGGAAUUCCUGGUGUAGCGGUGGAAUGCGCAGAUAUCAGGAGGAACACCGAUGGCGAAGGCAGAUCUCUGGGCCGCUACUGACGCUGAGGAGCGAAAGGGUGGGGAGCAAACAGGCUUAGAUACCCUGGUAGUCCACCCCGUAAACGUUGGGCGCUAGAUGUGGGGACCAUUCCACGGUUUCCGUGUCGUAGCUAACGCAUUAAGCGCCCCGCCUGGGGAGUACGGCCGCAAGGCUAAAACUCAAAGGAAUUGACGGGGGCCCGCACAAGCGGCGGAGCAUGCGGAUUAAUUCGAUGCAACGCGAAGAACCUUACCAAGGCUUGACAUAUACGAGAACGGGCCAGAAAUGGUCAACUCUUUGGACACUCGUAAACAGGUGGUGCAUGGUUGUCGUCAGCUCGUGUCGUGAGAUGUUGGGUUAAGUCCCGCAACGAGCGCAACCCUCGUUCUAUGUUGCCAGCACGUAAUGGUGGGAACUCAUGGGAUACUGCCGGGGUCAACUCGGAGGAAGGUGGGGACGACGUCAAAUCAUCAUGCCCCUUAUGUCUUGGGCUUCACGCAUGCUACAAUGGCCAGUACAAAGGGCUGCAAUACCGUAAGGUGGAGCGAAUCCCAAAAAGCUGGUCCCAGUUCGGAUUGAGGUCUGCAACUCGACCUCAUGAAGUCGGAGUCGCUAGUAAUCGCAGAUCAGCAACGCUGCGGUGAAUACGUUCCCGGGCCUUGUACACACCGCCCGUCAAGUCAUGAAAGUCGGUAACACCCGAAGCCAGUCAC
rnacentral:rRNA from 1 species